UUCGUCCCCAGUAAAGCGGCGCACGGGUGAGUAACACGUAGGUAAUCUAUCCUCGGGUGGUGGAUAACAUUCCGAAAGGAGUGCUAAUACAGCAUAACACCGCAAGGACAAAGCGGGCCUCUCUAUAGAAGCUCGCGCCUGAGGAUGAGCCUGCGGCCCAUCAGCUAGUUGGUAGUGUAAAAGACUACCAAGGCUAAGACGGGUAGCUGGUCUGAGAGGAUGAACAGCCACACUGGAACUGAGACACGGUCCAGACUCCUACGGGAGGCAGCAGUAGGGAAUCUUGCGCAAUGGGCGAAAGCCUGACGCAGCGACGCCGCGUGAGUGAUGAAGGCCUUCGGGUUGUAAAGCUCUGUGGGGAGAGAAGAAUAAGUGCAAGCUAAUACUUUGCACGAUGACGGUAUCUCCUUAGCAAGCACCGGCUAACUCUGUGCCAGCAGCCGCGGUAAGACAGAGGGUGCAAACGUUGUUCGGAAUCACUGGGCGUAAAGCGCGUGUAGGCGGCUUCUCAAGUCGGGUGUGAAAUCCCAGGGCUCAACCCUGGAAGUGCAUUCGAAACUGGGUAGCUAGAGUACUGGAGAGGAAGGUGGAAUGCUUGGUGUAGAGGUGAAAUUCGUAGAUAUCAAGCGGAACACCGGUGGCGAAGGCGGCCUUCUGGACAGAUACUGACGCUGAG
rnacentral:rRNA from 1 species